rnacentral:lncRNA from 1 species
GCAGUCUUCUUGCACCUAAGCACCCAGCAGUGCCAUCCACCUCCGGCCUGAGGGGGACCCCAAGAUGCUCUGCUGGGUCCCCAGGUGUGUCCAUGGCCUGGCACACAGUGGGCCUGGCCAGAACCUGGGAGAGACGUGAACAGAGCCUGGCAGUGGAAUAGGCUCUGAGGCCAGCGCGUUCUCAGCCUCAGCCCUUUGUCUGUGGCUUUGUGAUGGACAGAUAAAGAACAGGGGAGCCUAAGGUGGACAAGUCUCCUCUCUACCCUGGGUCUUCUUGGAACUGUGCUUGGAACCAGAGGCAAGAAUGGUGCCCAGGCUGAUCUCUUGGUCUGUUGAACUGCACCCACCAAGGACAGGGUGAAGGCUCUUCCUCUGGCCAGGAUCGUGGGCUUCAGGGGCCCAGAGAGCCUCCAACCCGAGACGGGAAGCUGACAGCUGGUAAGAGCUCCAUCCAAGCAUCUCCCUACUUCAAGUGCCCAUCUCCAGCCUACCUGGCUACCAGGCUGUAAGAACUUCCAGCCUAGAGCCCUGAUGAAGCUCUGGCUACCCCUACCUUGGCACUUGGAAAGCAGUACUUGGGACCAGGAUAGACAGGUUGAACAGGAUAGGCAGAGGGUUAUAGUGGCAUGUGGCAAGACUCCAUUGGGCCAGAGUUAUCCAUCUGAGCUGUUUGCCUCCAAGUCCCACAGACCUGGAACCCCUAACUCUUUUGUGACCAAGGGGGUCUCUUCUGUUUCAGCUCCCUAAUCCUCCAGAGUUAACUCCUUCCAAUUUGAGUGCAUCAGUUUUUGGCUGGUACACUUUUCUGGUAUCAUCUUUUCUCCCUGGUAAAGGACAUGCCCAUGAGCACCAAGCUUUAGGUUCCCAGUGGGAUGUGGACCAUGGGGGAAGGGGACAGUUCUUCCAGGGUCUCCAGAUCAGGAUAUCCAACUGAAGCCCUGGGGUGCUGGCGCCACCACAUGGUUUUGCACAGAACUACAGUGGCUGAGGGGCACAAGAAUGCCCAGGGGCAGAAACCCUGAGAGCAUCAGUUGUGUCUGGUCUAGAUCCUACCCAACCAGCUGGGCUCCAGGAGUAAUUACUUACCAAGUACUUACCAGUAUCUAUCGUAACCCAGAGCUGCAGGGCUCAGCAUGCAGUUCCAAGCUCAACCUGAGCUGGAAUUACCUGGA